CCGACAUGCCAAAUCCAAUACUUCGCGUAAACUGGUAAUCACGUAAACUGGUAAUGCAUGUGUUUAGUGACGUGUGUGUAUUUGCAGACGAUCAUAGAGUUUUUCGGUUUUAGAAAAAAUGGAUCAAAUUCGGGUAAAAUAAAUUCUUCCAAGAAAUUUUAAUAAUUAUUUAUUUAGUUUAGCUACGCCAACACAAAUAUUGAUAAAAUUACACUUAUUCGAUGCGUUUUUGCACGAAACGAAAGAAUUUUAUAGAAAAAAGUGUCGCUCUGCCCCGCGAAACGAGUUAUUAAUUGUCAAAGUUGACGACUUGACAGGUUAGGAAACCUGUCAUACCGACGAAACGUCGCGAUAUGAGCAUGCUCCGUGGUAUUAAAUCAUGAUAUUAAAUAAAUAUAAGUAUUAAAUCUUCAUCUUACUAAAGUGUGUGCGAUGAGUCUAUUUCAUAUUAAAAUGGAAACAGUGAAAAUUAGCAAAGUCCCCUACGCAAGUGAAACAUAGGGACUUCUCUCUCUUUACAUAUGCAUGUGGUGCGCACCCAGAUUGUACACAUGCAUAUGGGACCUACAGUUUAACGCCUGUCCGAACGGCAGUUGGAGAGAAGUUUUCUUUGGCAUGUGAUUACUCUUGGUGGUUUGUCGGACGACCGAAGAGGAGCUACGAGCGUAUGAAAAUUUUUCUAGUUCUGCCGGGGAUCGAGAACCCCGGGUCCUCUAGCAUAGUAGAUUGGUGCGCUAUCUACCAUGCCACGCUCGCGCUUCUUUAUUAUAUGUAAGAGAUAUAAGAAUAGAGGGAACAAG